rnacentral:misc_RNA from 1 species
GAUGAAGAACGCAGCGAAAUGCGAUAAGUAAUGUGAAUUGCAGAAUUCAGUGAAUCAUCGAAUCUUUGAACGCACCUUGCGCUCCUUGGUAUUCCGAGGAGCAUGCCUGUUUGAGUGUCAUUAAUAUAUCAACCUCUUCAGCUUAUGCUUGUUGAGUGUUGGAUGGUGGGGGUUUGCUGGUGUCUUAUGAAGUCAGCUCCUCUGAAAUGCAUUAGCGGAACAAUUUGUUGACCGUUCAUUGGUGUGAUAAAAAUAUCUACGCUAUUGACGUCAGUCAGUUCAGCUUCUAACAGUCCAUUGACUUGGACAAAUUUUUCAUUAAUGUGACCUCAAAUCAGGUAGGACUACCCGCUGAACUUAAGCAUAUCAAUAAGCGGACGA